rnacentral:rRNA from 1 species
GUGCCAGCCGCCGCGGUAAUACGGAGGGUGCAAGCGUUAAUCGGAAUCACUGGGCGUAAAGCGCGCGUAGGCGGCCGGAUAAGUCAGAUGUGAAAGCCCCGGGCUUAACCUGGGAAUGGCAUUUGAUGCUGUUCGGCUCGAGUAUGGUAGAGGGGGGUGGAAUUCCAGGUGUAGCGGUGAAAUGCGUAGAUAUCUGGAGGAACAUCAGUGGCGAAGGCGACCCCCUGGACCAAUACUGACGCUGAGGUGCGAAAGCGUGGGGAGCAAACAGGAUUAGAAACCCCCGUAGUCC